rnacentral:rRNA from 1 species
UACGUAGGGGGCAAGCGUUGUCCGGAAUCAUUGGGCGUAAAGAGCGUGUAGGCGGCUCGAUAAGUCUGCUGUGAAAGUCCAGGGCUCAACCCUGGAAGGCCGGUGGAAACUGUCGGGCUAGAGUCCGGAAGAGGCGAGUGGAAUUCCCGGUGUAGCGGUGAAAUGCGUAGAUAUCAGGAGGAACACCGGUGGUGUAGACGGCUCUCUGGACCGUAACUGACGCUGAGACACGAAAGCGUGGGUAGCAAACAGG